rnacentral:rRNA from 1 species
ACGUAGGUGGCGAGCGUUAUUCGGAAUUACUGGGCGUAAAGAGUCCGUAGGGGGUUUGCCAAGUCCGAUGUGAAAGUCCGGGGCUCAACUCCGGGAAGCCAUUGGAAACUGGCGAACUAGAGGGCAGGAGAGGAGAGUGGAAUUCCCGGUGUAGCGGUGGAAUGCGUAGAUAUCGGGAGGAACACCAAUGGCGAAGGCAGCUCUCUGGCCUGUACCUGACCCUGAGGGACGAAAGCUGGGGGAGCAAACAG